rnacentral:rRNA from 1 species
UACGAAGGGGGCUAGCGUUGUUCGGAAUCACUGGGCGUAAAGCGCACGUAGGCGGAUCUUUAAGUCAGGGGUGAAAUCCCGAGGCUCAACCUCGGAACUGCCUUUGAUACUGGGAAUCUCGAGUCCGGGAGAGGUGAGUGGAACUGCGAGUGUAGAGGUGAAAUUCGUAGAUAUUCGCAAGAACACCAGUGGCGAAGGCGGCUCACUGGCCCGGUACUGACGCUGAGGUGCGAAAGCGUGGGGAGCAAACAGG